UUCGUAUAUUUUAAUUGAACUUGUUAGUUAUUGUAAUAUAUGACAUGAAGUAAAAUAUAAAUAAUUAGAAGAGUGGCUUGCAAAUCAUGAGGUACCGAAAGGACACAAUUACUUCAAGAAGCCUCUGAAUAUUAUCAUCAUGAGAUUGGAAAUUAUAAGAAAAUACUUCAGAGUGUUUUAGUUAGUUUUCAGUUAGUUUCAGAGUGGUGGCUAAUCGAUUUGGAAUAACAAAAAUUUCUCUUCAUAAAAUCGUACGAAGAGUGGCAUUCUUUUUAAGCAAUUUAUCACCAGAUUAUAUAAAGUUCCCAACUCCUAACUAGCAAAUACUAAUUCAAAUGUAUGCUUUGCUGAAAAAUAUUUUCCAGGAGUGAUAGGUGUAAUUGAUGACACACAUAUUAAAAUUGACAAGCUUCAAGACGAUCCAGAUUUUUAUUUAAUUAGGAAACAUUUUUACUCUAUUCAGGCUCAGGUUGUAUGUGACCAUCAAAAGAGAAUUCGCGAUAUAUUCAUAGGUUAUCCAGGCUCAGUUCACGAUAGUCGAGUUUUUCGAUCAUCACCAUUAAAUGAUACUUUGAAACAGAGUGAAACAGAAAGAGGUGGUGCUUUUUUUCUUAUUUGAAAUAGCGGAUAUCUAUGUACUAAACACUUAUUAACGCCAUUUAAAGAUUUAACUAGAAGGCAAAGAAACUUUAAUUAUCUUUUAUGUUCCAAUAGAUAUUUAAUUGAA